UCUCUCUCUCUCUCUCUCUCCCCCUCUUCUUCUUCUUCUUCCUCGCUUCGAUCUCUCCUCUCCUCUCCCUCUCCCUCGAUCUCUUCUACUUCGCCACCACUCUCUCUCUCUCGAUCUCUCGAUCUCUCUCGCGCUUGUUCUAGAGGUUUCUUUUUUCCCCUUUUUUCGUGGUGGUGAAUUGCGGCUACGCGAGGGAUAUAUAUAUAUAGGGACGUAGAGGGAAGAGAGAGAGAGAGAAAGAGACUCGUGAGAGUUAGAGAGAGAAGGAGAGGGAGAGAGAUGAGAGAGAAAGAGCGUGUAUGCGUUUUAG
rnacentral:lncRNA from 1 species